rnacentral:rRNA from 1 species
AGGACGAACGCUUGCGACGUGCCUAAGAAAUGCAAGUCGAACGAGGUAGCAAUACCUAGUGGCGAACGGUCGCGUAACACGUGGGCAACCUGCCCUAGAGUGGGGGAUAACAAUCCGAAAGGAUUGCUAAUACCGCAUGUGAAUACUGAAGGCAUCUUCGGCUAUUCAAAGGAUUUAUUCGCUCUAGGAUGGGCCCGCGGCCUAUCAGCUAGUUGGUGAGGUAACGGCCCACCAAGGCUUCGACGGGUAGCUGGUCUGAGAGGACGAUCAGCCGGAUUGGGGACUGAGAUACGGCCCAGACUCCUACGGGGGGCAGCAAUUAGGAAUCUUGCGCAAUGGGCGAAAGCCUGACGCAGCGACGUCGCGUGAAGGAUGAAAUCUUUCGGGAUGUAAACUUCUUUUAUCAGGGAAGAAAAAAAUGACGGUACCUGAUGAAUAAGCCCGGCUAACUACGCGCCAGCAGCCGC